UAUCGGAACGUGCCCAGUCGUGGGGGAUAACGUAGCGAAAGCUACGCUAAUACCGCAUACGAUCUAUGGAUGAAAGCGGGGGAUCGCAAGACCUCGCGCGAUUGGAGCGGCCGAUAUCAGAUUAGGUAGUUGGUGAGGUAAAGGCUCACCAAGCCGACGAUCUGUAGCUGGUCUGAGAGGACGACCAGCCACACUGGGACUGAGACACGGCCCAGACUCCUACGGGAGGCAGCAGUGGGGAAUUUUGGACAAUGGGCGCAAGCCUGAUCCAGCAAUGCCGCGUGCAGGAUGAAGGCCUUCGGGUUGUAAACUGCUUUUGUACGGAACGAAACGGUGAGCUCUAAUACAGUUUGCUAAUGACGGUACCGUAAGAAUAAGCACCGGCUAACUACGUGCCAGCAGCCGCGGUAAUACGUAGGGUGCGAGCGUUAAUCGGAAUUACUGGGCGUAAAGCGUGCGCAGGCGGUGAUGUAAGACAGAUGUGAAAUCCCCGGGCUCAACCUGGGACCUGCAUUUGUGACUGCAUCGCUAGAGUACGGUAGAGGGGGAUGGAAUUCCGCGUGUAGCAGUGAAAUGCGUAGAUAUGCGGAGGAAUACCGAUGGCGAAGGCAGCCCCCUGGGAUAACACUGACGCUCAUGCACGAAAGCGUGGGAGCAAACAGGAUUAGAUACCCUGGUAGUCCACGCCCUAAACGAUGUCUACUAGUUGUCGGGACUUAAUUGUCUUGGUAACGCAGCUAACGCGUGAAGUAGACCGCCUGGGGAGUACGGUCGCAAGAUUAAAACUCAAAGGAAUUGACGGGGACCCGCACAAGCGGUGGAUGAUGUGGAUUAAUUCGAUGCAACGCGAAAACNUUACCUACCCUUGACAUGGNUGGAAUCCUGAANANAUUUGGGAGUGCUCGCAAGANAACCA
rnacentral:rRNA from 1 species